rnacentral:rRNA from 1 species
AGUGAACGCUGGCGGUAGGCCUAACACAUGCAAGUCGAACGGCAGCACAGUAAGAGCUUGCUCUUACGUGUGGCUAGUUUCGGACGGGUGAGGAAUACAUCGGAAUCUACUUUUUCGUUGGGGCUAACGUAGUGAAACUUACGCUAAUACCGCAUACGACCUACGGGUGAAAGCAGUGGAUCUUCGGACCUUGCGCGUUUGAAUGAGCCGAUGUCGGAUUAUCUAGUUGGCGGGGUAAAGGCCCACCAAGGCGACGAUCCGUAGCUGGUCUGAGAGGAUGAUCAGCCACAAUGGAACGGAGACACGGUACAGAAUCCGAAGGGAGGCAGCAGUGGGGAAGAUUGGAGAAUGGGCGCAAGCCUGAUACAGCCAUACCGCGGGGGUGAAGAAGGCCUUCGGGUUGUAAAGACGUUUUGUGGGGAGAGAAAAGCAGCAGGUUAAUACCCCGCUGUUCUGACGGUAAACAAAGAAUAAGCACCGGCUAACUACGU